CAGAUGCCAGAAAUCCCAUAUCUGGUUUCCUUAGACUUAAGACCUGGAGUCUUCAGUGCACAGUCAGCUUCAGAUUGACAACCCAGGAGCCUUGCUGCAUAAUAAAAAGAAAGCCAUAGCUAUGCGAACCAGACGAAGUGGAUUCAGCCCAGGAAUCUGGCCAAACUCCAGGGCCGCCUAUCAUGAGCAGCCUUGUUUGCUUACAAUUUGCGGAGUUGCAAAGGGUAAAGGACUGGCUUUGACUAUUCAGUCUUUCAGGAAAACUUGAUCCAGUCGGCUAUAUUCUUGGACUGGCAAAACUGUAAUGUUGAGUGCUUCUACCAACUGAUAACCUAUGAGAAAUCAAGACAGAGCUGCUCUGGGAUGACUAUGCACAUUGAAGGAGUCGCUGGAAAGGCAGCAGAGAGGGCAUGGAGACAGACACAUCUGGAUGAGAAACUCCAGCUCCACCCACUUAACAGCUGUGUGAUCUUGGAUGUGCCAGUUACUCUCUUGCCUCAGUUCGUUCAUCUGUGAAAUGGAGCAAACAUCACAUCCCUGGUGGUUGUGAAGAUUAACCACGAUCAUGUGUAUGUGGCAGGUACUGUACUGUUACCUACCUGUUAUCCCUUAAGUCACGGGUGAAGGUUUGAAAACACUUGUGAAAGAGGGUGGUGUCAGCUGAUGUAUACAUUUCUCUGUUUAUCUUUCAUUUUUCUUACUGUUCAAGUGAAAUGCCAGAAGGUUGAGCUUCAGUCUGGUGACCAGGAGGGCAAGGGGCACAUGCUAGAAAUAGAAGACAAUGGUGCCUUGGUCCCUAUUGGUAGAUUGAAUGAUUUGUUCAAAACAUAUUCACGGUGCCUUUCUGCAGGACCCCAGCUCCUGCCACUUCACGGGAGAGGAGAGCACUCCCAUGCCAUUCAAUCAGGCAUGGCCGUGUGUCUUGCAUUAGCCAGUGGGAUGUGAGCAGAAGUGACUAUGCCCUGCUUCAGAAGAAGUUCAGUGCCAUCCCAUGAUUUUACUUUUCCUUUGACAUGAGGCUGCAAGUCCCAGAGAGGGGCUGCUCCUUCUGCUUGGACCUCAGAAAGAAGAUAAUAGGGGGAGAACUGCAGCUGACUUGUGAAGGGCAUUUAAUGGGAGCAAACAGACCUUUGAGAUUUGGGGUUAGUCCUUAUGGCAGCACAGCUGGGAAAGCUGACUAAUUAGUAGCAUCGCUGAUGGCGUACUGGGGCUGCCACACUAGCUCUCACUGCUUUUACCUCCAGACUUCUUACUACAUGAGGAAAAACAACUCCUACUUGGCUAAGCUACCAUUUUUUUGUGACUGUGGUCAUGAUAUCCAGUAUCAUGAAAGUACCAGGCAUAUUCGCACUUAAUAAAUUAAUGUCAGCUAUUAUUAGGGUAAUAUACAGACAUGUAUUUUAGAAAAUACUCAACUUGUGCAGUCUACAUUUAUGAGAUAAAUUGAUGGUGGAUUUUUAAAAUGAAAUUCUGCUUUGUUAAUAACCUAAUGAAUUCACUUAUUUUUAUUUAAAAAUUGAACAAUACAAAACGUCGUAAAGUGAA